rnacentral:rRNA from 1 species
GAAUAUUGCACAAUGGAGGAAACUCUGAUGCAGCGACGCCGCGUGAGGGAAGAAGGUUUUCGGAUUGUAAACCUCUGUCUUUGGUGACGAUAAUGACGGUAGCCAAAGAGGGAGCCACGGCUAACUACGUGCCAGCAGCCGCGGUAACACGUAGGUGGCAAGCGUCGUCCGGAAUUACUGGGUGUAAAGGGAGCGUAGGCGGGAAGACAAGUUGAAUGUUUAAACUAUCGGCUUAACCGGUAGUCGCGUUCAAAACUGUUUUUCUUGAGUGAAGUAGAGGUAGGCGGAAUUCCUAGUGUAGCGGUGAAAUGCGUAGAUAUUAGGAGGAACACCAGUGGCGAAGGCGGCCUACUGGGCUUUAACUGACGCUGAGGCUCGAAAGCGUGGGUAGCAAACAGG